rnacentral:lncRNA from 1 species
GUUGAUUGAUCGGUAUGAAGCAAGAGCAUACUGACCUUUGUUGCUUUCUUUUGCUGUAAUACUGAUAAAAUGUCCACCAUGAUGAAUACGAGAGUAUAUAUUUUCUAGUGGUUUUGUCUUUGUGGAUGACCUCAGGCCAGCAGACUGGCAGCAGGAGCCAUGCAGAGAGCAGAGGAACCAUGCUGGGUAGCACGGCCAGCUCAUCCUCUAAGCCCAGAGCCCAGCUUGCAGCAGAAGUAGAUGAGCAUCCAGAAGGAGAAGAAGAAGGGAAGAUGAGAAAGGAUGAAGAUAAUACCGUUUAUCUGUUGGAAACCAAUCCCAGUACCACCGACCGUUGACAUUGCCAACCUUUCUUCUUUUCUUAUCAUUCUGUCUCAUUUUUGGUCCUGUGGAGUGUUUAAUUCUUAUAGAGAUGUGCUUCUCAUGGUGUUGUCUCGGUUUCUGAGAAGAUGUAUCAGUCGCGUCAGCAUUGACAACUCCUGCACAGGUAUGAUGAGAACAGAACAGGUGUUCUCAAAAAAAGAUGUAACUUUUAAAAACUUGGAGAUUGAAGAUCACAAUGGAUCAUCAAAAAAUGCAAAAGAAUCAGUCAUAUCUGGAACCCAUGUUGGAAAAUAUCAAGAAUAGAGGAAGGACAAGGAGAUUUAUUUGAUGUAGCAAGUUCAGAGAGGGAUUCAGGAACAUUAGAGAAGAAUUUGAAAAGUGUGAUCCGGAAAAAAGUAGUCAAGGUUGGAAAGGAAGAUGUCAUUUCAGUCCUGAAAAAGUUUGACUUGCAUCUGAAGGACGAAUAUUUUGACGAUUUCCUGAAGAGAUGCGACCUUCUAAACAGUCUGACUGGCCGUAGGAAUUUGGAUACCUGAGAAACAUCCAGGAUGGCAGCGAUGAAGGGACCACGCGCAGUCCUCUCCAAGCCCGUGCGCAGGUUGCACGGACCCUCUAUAUUGUUACUGCUAGUCUUCUAAUCAGCUAUCUCCUACCAGACCCGUUGAUAAACACAAAGGACGGUCCUCACCUUUGUGGUGCCCUGUCCUCCUGGAGACCUUGACAUUAAUGGACAAGGGCAGCCUGGUCCAGAGACGGUCCAUGAGAAGUUGGCCUUGGGAAACAAAAGUGCUACAGGAAUGAACCUACUCUGUAUUGUUACUAAAACCGUUAGUGUUAUUGUUAUUAAAAUUACUUUCAUUUAA